ensembl:lncRNA GAS5 growth arrest specific 5
GUCUUUUCGAGGUAGGAGUCGACUCCUGUGAGGUAUGGUGCUGGGUGCAGAUGCAGUGUGGCUCUGGAUAGCACCUUAUGGACAGUUGUGUCCCCAAGGAAGGAUGAGAAUAGCUACUGAAGUAAGUUGAAAAUUCCCUCUCAAAAAGGUUUAAAGCCAUUGGAUGUGCCACAAUGAUGACAGUUUAUUUGCUACUCUUGAGUGCUAGAAUGAUGAGGAUCUUAACCACCAUUAUCUUAACUGAGGCACCCAAAAUGGUGAGUUGGGGAACAUAGAGAGUACACCUAAGUUCACAUGAAGUUGUUUCUUCCCAGGUCCUAAAGAGCAAGCCUAACUCAAGCCAUUGGCACACAGGCAUUAGACAGAAAGCUGGAAGUUGAAAUGGUGGAGUCCAACUUGCCUGGACCAGCUUAAUGGUUCUGCUCCUGGUAACGUUUUUAUCCAUGGAUGACUUGCUUGGGUAAGGACAUGAAGACAGUUCCUGUCAUACCUUUUAAAGGUACAUGUUUUAUUGAUGUUAACGUUAAUUGAUUGAGCUACUGUUAGUGAUGAUUUUAAAAUUAAAGCAGAUGGGAAUCUCUCUGAGAAAGAAAAUGGAGAUUAAUCUUAAACUGAAACAGUAGUUGGGAAAUCUUUUAGAAAUCCACCUAUUACUACCUAUUGGUAAAGGAGAUUAAAUUUCUACAGGUAUGGAGAGUCGGCUUGACUACACUGUGUGGAGCAAGUUUUAAAGAAGCAAAGGACUCAGAAUUCAUGAUUGAAGAAAUGCAGGUUAGUUUAAACUUUGAAGGAAAUUUUUAAGGUGGCAAAAGGUUUUGGUGGCAUAUACACCUUAAUCUGUAGAUGGGAGUGAUUAGCUGUUUAAAAGUUAAAAUGUGACUGAGAAGGAAAUUGAGUAGGGCAAAUUUUAAAUGGGUAUUAUUUUUCAUCUUCAAACAGGCAGACCUGUUAUCCUAAACUAGGUGAGUCAGCUUUUGGUACAUGUGAUGAUUUUCAGUGUAACCAAUGAUGUAAUGAUUCUGCCAAAUGAAAUAUAAUGAUAUCACUGUAAAACCGUUCCAUUUUGAUUCUGAGGUUACUCUACUAACAAGCAUCACACAUUUGUAUUUUGCCCUGAUUAAUAUGUUGGCUUCGCUUUCAGGGUUUUUAAUGACCACAACAAGCAAGCAUGCAGCUUACUGCUUGAAAGGGUCUUGCCUCACCCAAGCUAGAGUGCAGUGGCCUUUGAAGCUUACUACAGCCUCAAACUUCUGGGCUCAAGUGAUCCUCAGCCUCCCAGUGGUCUUUGUAGACUGCCUGAUGGAGUCUCAUGGCACAAGAAGAUUAAAACAGUGUCUCCAAUUUUAAUAAAUUUUUGCAAUCCA